AGACAGCCGACAGCCACAGGGAGCCAGGAACAUUAGAUCUCAGAGUCCCGGAUUGGGUAGAGGAAGCGAUAAAGCAGCUGAGGCCCUGCCUGAAUAAAGAUAGCAGCCAGCAGCAGCCAGCCAGGUCCUCUGUGAUGUGGCUGUGUCAAAGCUGCCAAGGCAGAGAUGAGCAUACUGUCGUCAUGUCACUCCCAGGCACAACGACAGCUACGAGUGCCAGAUACUGAGUUCUAUAGACUGCAAACCAAAUGGCGGUGGGUAGUUAUGGAACUGCAUUUCCAUCAGCUCAAACACACCACAGCCUGUCAAGAAAGCUAUUGCCGCUUUGUAUUCUUUUUCUGGGAAAGGAAGCUGAGCCGCGGGAGAGAUUUAGUAACUUAUGCGCAUGCUCCACAGAUGUGUGCGGCUUAGAAUCAGCUCAGCCCAACCACUCGGACAGGGGCCUUUACCUCACGGGUGGAGGCUCACCCAGGUAGUAUUCGGUGUAGUGAAGACCCAGAUGGCACAGGGUCUGCCAGCCCAUCUGAAAGAAGAAGGUCAGCCUAUGGACUUCCUGUGGACUGAGGAAGGAGACCAGAGCCACAGCGCAGAGCGCAGGGAUGAAGAUGAGCAGAGAGUAGGGACCCAUGGCAGCAAAAGCCAGGACACCUCCUCCAGCCAGGAGAAAGAGGAUCUAAGUUCUCAGCCUGAUGCCUCUGCCUGCCACCAUGCUUCCUGCCAAGAUGAUAAUAGACUCGCCCUCUAAAACUGAAUAAGGCCCCAGUUAGAUGCGUUCUCUUCUAAGACUUGCCUUGGUCACUGUGACUCUUCACAGCAAUAGAACAAUAACGAGGACAGUCUCAAACAGCUUGGCAACGGGGCUCUUCAAGAUCUGACUGAGUGUAAAUGAGAGUAGAAGAGCCAUCAACCCCACUUCCAAAGCACAUACCCUUUCCUCCCUCCUCACGCACGGCGUGCACACCCAGUGUGUAUUUCAGGGAGCUGGAGAGAGGAGACCCAGUGCGUCUCUUGGGCAAGUAUCUGCACUCAUGAGCAGCAAAUCUUGAUGUCAGCAUUUCGUCCUCACUACUGUACUUCGACUCUUAGGACCUCAUGAUUUGCUGUUUUGUUUUUAAGUUUUUAUGGUUUACCAACUCCGUUAUGAAAAUCUGCAAUUCCUGCGGAUCAGUCACUGCAGGAUCUCUUGUUCUUCUCUCCAGCACAGAACUGGUCCCUUCUCUGCUUUCUUCACUCUGUCCUCAGCUCCCCUAUUCCACUACCUUUCAGUCUUUCUUCAUCUCAUGCAAUCCGUGGCUUCCUUCUUCAUUGUGUAAGCCAAAGAACCAUAAAUGAUAUUGGUUGUCUUGCUAUCACCAAAUGAGAUGUGAGAGAAAUAAAGAAAACUUGCUGGA